GGGCGAUUGGCUCAGUUGGUUAGAGCGCGCGGUUCACAUCCGCGAGGUCACUGGUUCGAAUCCAGUAUCGCCCACCA
rnacentral:tRNA from 1 species